UACGUAGGGGGCAAGCGUUAUCCGGAUUUACUGGGUGUAAAGGGAGCGCAGACGGCGCAGCAAGUCUGAAGUGAAACUCCGGGGCUUAACCCCGGAACUGCUUUGGAAACUGUUGUGCUUGAGUAUCGGAGGGGCAGGCGGAAUUCCCAGUGUAGCGGUGAAAUGCGUAGAUAUUGGGAAGAACACCGGUGGCGAAGGCGGCCUGCUGGACGAUAACUGACGUUGAGGCUCGAAGGCGUGGGGAG
rnacentral:rRNA from 1 species